rnacentral:rRNA from 1 species
GACGAACGCUGGCGGCGUGCUUAACACAUGCAAGUCGAACGGAAAGGCCCCUUUGGGGGUCCUCGAGUGGCGAACGGGUGAGUAACACGUGAGUAACCUGCCCUUGACUUCGGGAUAACUUCAGGAAACUGGGGCUAAUACCGGAUAGGAAUCCUUGCUGCAUGGUUGGGGUUGGAAAGCUUCGGCGGUUUUGGAUGGACUCGCGGCUUAUCAGCUUGUUGGUGGGGUAGUGGCUUACCAAGGCUUUGACGGGUAGCCGGCCUGAGAGGGCGACCGGCCACAUUGGGACUGAGAUACGGCCCAGACUCCGACGGGAGGAAGCAGUGGGGAAUAUUGCACAAGGGGCGGAAGCCGGAUGCAGCAACGCCGCGGGCGGGAGGACGGCCUUCGGGUUGUAAAACGAUUUCAGCAGGGGCGAAGCUUGUGGUGACGGUACCUGCAGAAGAAGCACCGGCUAACUACGUG